GCAUAUCAAAUAGCGGAGGAAAAGAAACCAACAGGGAUUGCCCUAGUAACGGCGAGUGAACAGGCAAGAGCUCAGAUUUGAAAGCCUUUUUGGCAUUGUAUUCUGAAGUCAGUUUUCUGAGUAUCGAUGUUUAAGUCUUCUGGAAAGGAGCGCCAUGGAGGGUGAUAGCCCCGUACGACAUCUCACUCAUUGUAGGAUUCUGACGUGGAGUCGAGUUGUUUGGGAAUGCAGCUCAAAAGGGUGGUAUGCUCCAUCUAAAGCUAAAUAUCUGUGAGAGACCGAUAGCGAACAAGUACUGUGAAGGAAAGAUGAAAAGAACUUUGAAAAGAGAGUGAAAUAGUACGUGAAAUUGUUGAAAUGGAAGGAUAGGCCGCUAACCAUGUAGAGCCGUGUUUGGGGGGAAGAUAAAAGCUGAAGAAUGUGGCUCUUCGGAGUGUUAUAGCUUCAGUCAAUAUUCCCACCUGGGCGCGAGGAUCUCAGGCUCUACUAAAUGGUGGUCUAUCACCCGUC
rnacentral:rRNA from 1 species